rnacentral:rRNA from 1 species
UACGUAGGAUGCAAGCGUUGUCCGGAAUUAUUGGGCGUAAAGGGCGCGUAGGCGGCUUGACAAGUCAAAGGUGAAAUCCCUCGGCUCAACUGAGGAACUGCCUUUGAAACUGUCUGGCUUGAGGCCGGGAGGGGGUAGCGGAAUUCCCAGUGUAGCGGUGAAAUGCGUAGAUAUUGGGAGGAACACCAGUGGCGAAGGCGGCUACCUGGACCGGUUCUGACGCUGAUGCGCGAAAGCGUGGGUAGCAAACAGG